UGGGGUUUUCUACCACUUCGUCCUUUCUGCUCAUUUUACCCAAACUCAUAACACACAUUUACAGAGAAAUACAGACGGAGAGAGAACGACGUGAGAGAGAAACCGAUGAAAGGAAGCGGAAGCCAAUCACCCCAACCCGAUGAAGGUGAUGAUGGUGACGACUACGAUAACCAGAUUGGCAGCGAUGGCGGCUAGGGUUCCAGUUUGGGGGUUUUUGAAACCAGGUCGUCAAGGUGUUGAGGACGUCUGCAGUCUGGUUGGCGGCUAGGGUUCCAGUUAGAUUCAGUUAAUUAGGAUUCAGCUAAGAGUGCCUGAGUAUGGUUGGACAACACAAAAAGUUUUCUACCUCAUUAACUUCAUUGUAAAUGGAGUGCGUGCCAUUGUCUUUGGGUUUCACUUAGACCGCCCGUAGUGGGCGUUUUUAAAAAAAAAAUUCCCAAACACGCCCCUUCACCCCCCCCCGGUGUGAUCGGGCGUCAUUCGCGAAAAAAUGGUUUGUGGCGUGUUUUGAAACACGCUCAAGGGGCAAAUCUUCGACCAAUCAGAACGAGAUGCAACGGUCAUAAACAAAUGGCUAGAUUUAAUUUUU